rnacentral:rRNA from 1 species
ACGCUCGACACCUACGGGAGGCAGCAGUGGGGAAUAUUGCACAAGUGGGGGAAACCCUGAUGCAGCGACGCCGCGUGAAGGAAGAGUUGNUGUAUNUAUCUNUGAGNGAGGUAGAACGUGACGUAACGNGACAAGACCGCCGGCUAACUACGUGCCNGCAGCCGCGUAAUCUGAGCGGGCUGGCAAGGC